rnacentral:tRNA from 1 species
GGGCGGUUAGCUCAGCCGGUCAGAGCGCCUGCCUUACAAGCAGGAGGUCGCAGGUUCGAGCCCUGCACCGCCCACCA